GGAAUAUAAGAAUCUGUCUCUUAAUUUUUAACUGAAAAAGCUAAAAAUUGGUUCUUAAUAAGAUAUUUAAAAACCGGUUCUUAACUUUUUUAGUUAAAAGUUAAGAGACAAAUUCUUAUAUUCA
rfam:Brassica rapa chromosome A2, whole genome shotgun sequence.